AGAGUUUGAUCAUGGCUCAGGAUGAACGCUAGCGGCAGGCUUAAUACAUGCAAGUCGUGGGGCAGCGNNNNGUAGCAAUACAUGGGCGGCGACCGGCAAACGGGUGCGGAACACGUACGCAACCUUCCUUUAAGUGGGGGAUAGCCCAGGGAAACUUGGAUUAAUACCCCGUAAUAUUACGGAGUGGCAUCACUUUUUAAUUAUAGCAGCAAUGCGCUUGAAGAUGGGCGUGCGCCUGAUUAGGUAGUUGGCGGGGUAACGGCCCACCAAGCCUUCGAUCAGUAACUGGUGUGAGAGCACGACCAGUCACACGGGCACUGAGACACGGGCCCGACUCCUACGGGAGGCAGCAGUAAGGAAUAUUGGUCAAUGGACGAAAGUCUGAACCAGCCAUGCCGCGUGGAGGAUGAAGGUCCUCUGGAUUGUAAACUUCUUUUAUUUGGGAAGAAACCCACGAUUUCUAUUGUGGUUGACGGUACCAGAUGAAUAAGCACCGGCUAACUCCGUGCCAGCAGCCGCGGUAAUACGGAGGGUGCAAGCGUUAUCCGGAUUCACUGGGUUUAAAGGGUGCGUAGGCGGGCAGGUAAGUCAGUGGUGAAAUCCCCGAGCUUAACUUGGGAACUGCCGUUGAUACUAUCUGUCUUGAAUACUAUGGAGGUAAGCGGAAUAUGUCAUGUAGCGGUGAAAUGCUUAGAUAUGACAUAGAACACCAAUUGCGAAGGCAGCUUGCUACACAGUUAUUGACGCUGAGGCACGAAAGCGUGGGCAAACAGGAUUAGAUACCCNNGUAGUCC
rnacentral:rRNA from 1 species